GCCCUGGUUAGCUCAGUUGGUAGAGCGCUCCACCAAUAAUGGAGAGGUUUCGGGUUCGAUACCCGGACCAGGCG
rnacentral:tRNA from 1 species